rnacentral:lncRNA from 1 species
AUUACAGAGCACUGGCUUGAAGUUAACGAGCCUUUUUUGUAGAAAAAUAGACCACAAUUGCCAGGUAUGAUCGUCCAAGUUCGGCUCAUGGAGGCACCCUGAUUCUCUCUAGAAAUAAUGAUUUUUCUCUGGUAACAAAAUAUGACUUUUUGUUAAGUGAAUCCUUCUUUGAGUUUUCCUUAGUUUAUAAUAAAAAUCUUAAUCUUUACAUUAUUUGCAUUUAUAUAUCACCUGAUUCUACCGUGGAACUCUUUUUUCAGAAUCUGCUAAAUUUGUUAGAUGACCUGCCUCAAAAAAGC